GCGAAGGUGGCGGAAUUGGUAGACGCGCUAGCUUCAGGUGUUAGUGUCCUUAUCGGACGUGGGGGUUCAAGUCCCCCCCCUCGCACCA
rnacentral:tRNA from 1 species